rnacentral:rRNA from 1 species
UACGGAGGGGGCUAGCGUUGUUCGGAAUUACUGGGCGUAAAGCGUGCGCAGGCGGUUCGUGAUGUCUGAUGUGAAAGCCCCGGGCUCAACCUGGGAAUUGCAUUGGAAACUAGCGGGCUGGAGUGUGGCAGAGGGGGGGUGGAAUUCCACGUGUAGCAGUGAAAUGCGUAGAGAUGUGGAGGAACACCGAUGGCGAAGGCAGCCCCCUGGGCUAACACUGACGCUCAUGCACGAAAGCGUGGGGAGCAAACAGG